AUCUCACAUGCAGAGGACAGGGAAACAAAAAGGAUUCAGAGAGACCGAGUAACUUUCUGAAAAUCACCCAGAAAGAAAUGCAGUGAAUCCAGGACUCAGAUGUUUUGCUCCUAAGUCCCAGGGAAGAUACAAAGUCUCUCCCUUGUAGGGAUUAUGAAGAAGCAGAUACAAGUGACAAAUCAAAGAACAAGGGACUCCCCAGGAACUGCCA
rnacentral:lncRNA from 1 species